AAUCGUCAGAUUUUAUCUGGACGUGGCAACGCUGCGAGAGGAGUAAGGGAUUUGGGAACGAAAGGCGGAGCUCCUUUAAGAGAUUUUUCAGAAGAACCGCUCGUACCUCGCUUAAUAUUGUGUCACAUGUUAUUUGCUGUUUGGUGUAACCGUUCCUUUCGGCUUUUAAUAGAGUGGGAGUCUUUUGCCUUGGAGAGUUUUUUCGUCUCGUGAUACGCUAUUUCGCUGGUUGUACGUUUCAUUGUAUGCUGAAACAAUUUGUUAAAUAGGUUUACCAUCUUGGCGGAGUUUGAACCACUGCAUUGCUGUAUGAUGUCCAACAGUUGAGCUGAAUGGUUGAUGGUGAAGUCAACUUCAGUCUGCAGUGUGCGUUCAAUCCCUGGCCGUAGUGGCGAAUUAUUUAACUGAUGCCUUAGUGCUGAUCCAUGUCCAAAGAUUUCUACUUGUGGUAAUCUACUUGGCUACCUGUACUGGCUGUAUGUCUCAUUCUAUGCUGAAACAAACGUCGUAGGGAAGAUCAACAGAGCGCUGGCCGAAGCGGGAAUAACUGAACGUACAUUCAGUCGAUUGCAUGCCGUCUCGGUCGGAAAAUCCAACGCCACCCGCGAAAUAUAAGCUGGAACGCAUCCGCAAUUUCUUCAAACGCGUCGAAAUUCUUUAUGACGACGGCAGUGACACGGCUCGUACCGACACGGCGGUACCAUCGUAAUUAUAAAAUCUGGCUGGACUAAUAUUUGGAGAAACACUACACCUGCAACAGUGGCAACUCGACCGAAGCCUCCUCGUCUUUAUCGUCCAGUAACGCCACACUUGGAUAUCAUUCGAUUAAUUACGGUAUAGAAUAUGGAAAACAUGGACUCGAAAGAAGAUGCAAAUAAAGACAGGAACUUUCCUUUUAACAUGCCGGUAACCAUCAUGUCACUCACAAUAGUCAUGGAAGCGUUCGGUUCAUUGAUAAAGGUAAUUUACGAUUUGUGUGCGGCAGACUAACUUAAUCUGCAUGUAUCGUUAAUUGUACCUACGCCACUUGCUUGUCGUUGCAAAUUGUCAAUGCGUUUUUUAUAGUUUGUAUCAAUAUCGAUGAGCGUGUGAACUUGUAUAAAUUUAAGGUGUUAGCAUAUUAAAUCUUCCUUGUGGAACAGUUUCAGUUUUGAUUGCUAUGAUGGAUUGGAAUGGGCAAUGGUAUGUUGAGAACACAACCUUUAUCAAUUAAUUUGUCUUUAAGGUUCAAAUGUUCUUUUUCUCAUUCUUACUAGUUGUAGUUUUCCCUUGAUCUGAAAUUGUUUUUUAGUAAAAUUAAUUGUCUAACAUUUUCGCUUAAAUAGAUCAAUAACUGAAUAACACUUCGUUAUUUGUCUCUUGGGUUGAUUAUAGGAUAAAUAUCUUUGAUUAUAAGUAAGGUUUAUCUUUGAUUAUAAGUAAGGUUUAAAUAAACCGUACGUUUUGUUAGCAAUUAUUUUUUAUUGGCCAUCUAGUAGAGGAAUUUUGGACUGCUCUAUCGAAUCCCAAUCGCUUCUUGUCGUCAGUCGCGUUCUUGGCGUUUGGUCAGUUUUGCCGUUUUGGCAUGCUUUUGCCUUUUGGUGGAUGCUGGAUGUUAAGAUUUGUGGAUGAUUGGAAAUUGGAUGGAUUGGAUUUGUUGGUUGGUAAUGAAGAAAACAAUCUUGAGACUACUUUUAUCUUCUUAUAAGUAUGCAAUAUAAUAUUUGUUUUUAAGACUGUAAAAUGGAAAGAACAUAAGAAUAACAUUAGGAAACUAAAACUGAUGGGUAGCUGCAACUAUAACCUUAAAUCACCAAUAACUGUGAUAGAAUGAAUGUUUUUCCGUCCACAUGCACUGCUUCAUAAAGUUGAGCAAUGAGAUUUAUCAUUACUAGAGGAAAUAAAUAUAAAAUGCAUACAUCAUGCAUGAAAAAUAUUUCGAAACAGGAUGUUGAAUUGGCUAACUUUUGAAAGGAUUUAUAAGGAAUGCUGCAAAUACUUCAAUUGUAUUCCGUCUGAAGAGGUCUGAAUGCCAUCUCAGGUUUACGAAUCCUGCAAUUGAAUGACAAUCAACAGGCAAUGAGACAGCAGUUAGGCCACAACAUCUCCAACCAUUUGUGCGACCACUGAGUCAAGUGACAGCAUUAAGACCAGACGUAAAAUGAUUUGACCUCCCGUAAAUGUUCACUUAUUUUUACUACGUAGGGCUUUUUCAGCCGCAACGUUGGUGGAAGAAUAACGCUGGACAGAUCAAGCCGAACUAGCCACACGGGGAAAACAUCAAACGAAGAAAAAACAAAACAUAUUGUUGGAAAAUGUCUAGUGACUGUAUUCUAGGUAAUUGUAUUUGUGCAAAUUGUUAAGCUAAUAAACUAUCUUUAUCUUUUGUGAUAACGAA